rnacentral:rRNA from 1 species
AACUAGAGUAUGAUAGAGGUAAGCGGAAUUUCUAGUGUAGAGGUGAAAUUCGUAGAUAUUAGAAAGAACACCAAUUGCGAAGGCAGCUUUCUGGAUCAUAACUGACACUGAGGUGCGAAAGCAUGGGUAGCGAAGAGGAUUAGAUACCCUCGUAGUCCAUGCUGUAAACGAUGUGUGCUAGACGUUGGGAAUUUAUUUCUCAGUGUCGCAGCAAAAGCGUUAAGCACACCGCCUGGGGAGUACGACCGCAAGGUUAAAACUCAAAUGAAUUGACGGGGACCCGCACAAGUAGUGGAGCAUGUGGUUUAAUUCGAAGAUACGCGCAGAACCUUACCAACUCUUGACAUGUUCGUCGCGACUCGUAGAGAUAUGAGUCUUCGGUUCGGCCGGACGAAGCACAGGUGCUGCAUGGCUGUCGUCAGCUCGUGUCGUGAGAUGUUGGGUUAAGUCCCGCAACGAGCGCAACCCUCACUUUUAGUUGCUACCAUUUAGUUGGGCACUCUAAAAGAACUGCCAGUGAUAAGCUGGAGGAAGGUGGGGAUGACGUCAAGUCCUCAUGGCCCCUACGAGUUGGGCUACACACGUGCUACAAUGGUACCUACAAUGAGAAGCGAAGAGGCAACUCUAAGCAAAUCCCAAAAAGGUACCUCAGUUCGGAUUGUACUCUGCAACUCGAGUACAUGAAGCUGGAAUUACUAGUAAUCGUGGAUCAGCGCGCCACGGUGAAUACGUUCCCGGGUCUUGUACACACCGCCCGUCACACCAUGGAAGUUGGUAAUACG